rnacentral:rRNA from 1 species
AGAAUUUAGCAGAGAUGCUUUAGUGCCUUCGGGAACUCUGAGACAGGUGCUGCAUGGCUGUCGUCAGCUCGUGUUGUGAAAUGUUGGGUUAAGUCCCGNAACGAGCGCAACCCUUAUCCUUUGUUGCCAGCACGUAAUGGUGGGAACUCAAAGGAGACUGCCGGUGAUAAACCGGAGGAAGGUGGGGAUGACGUCAAGUCAUCAUGGCCCUUACGAGUAGGGCUACACACGUGCUACAAUGGCGCAUACAAAGAGAAGCGACCUCGCGAGAGCAAGCGGACCUCAUAAAGUGCGUCGUAGUCCGGAUUGGAGUCUGCAACUCGACUCCAUGAAGUCGGAAUCGCUAGUAAUCGUAAAUCAGAAUGUUACGGUGAAUACGUUCCCGGGCCUUGUACACACCGCCCGUCACACCAUGGGAGUGGGUUGCAAAAGAAGUAGAUAGCUUAACCUUCGGGAGGGCGUUUACCACCUUGUGAUUCAUGACUGGGGUGAAGUCGUAACAAGGUAAGCGUAGUGCU